AAAGAGCGGCGGCUUUUCGUCUCUGUUCAGCGGGGAAGCAGCGAGGUUCCCUCCAGAUAGCGGUGAAGGGCGGCUUCCUAACUUUGUUUCCCAAGUCCCCUAACUUCGGAAUGCUUCUGCAUUGGUUCUUGCUCAGUGUCAUACCAGCGACUCCAAGAGUCAUGUCACCCACUUAGCAGGAGUACUUCUACUGAAAUGCCUUCGAAUUUCUCUUACUGGAUAUAUACCUACCAGCCGCUAGCAUGAAGAUGCCAGGACCGCUGCAAGUUAGCACUGGACAAAGUAGCAUCAACUUCUUCAUUUAGAGUUUCUUCAGUUAAAUUGCUGGGAUUUUCGACAAGGCUUUCCUUAUGUGGAUUAUUGGAGUGUGAUGCCCGAGAAUUCUCUACUUGUAGAAGCACGCCCACGGGACUGCAGAAGCCUUCACACCCACCCAGCACGCUCAGAUCAUCCAGUAACCAACCCAGGAAGUUCUUGUAAGCAUGCAUUUCUUAGUCAACACUGAAUGCCUUUAGACCGAGGUCAACCUUUUCAGCUGGUACCGUGGUUUACACUGCUGAUGGGAAUGAGUGAUGGCCAUCCAGUGACCAGCUGGAUCUGACUGCCUUACAAGACGCAUGUGUAUGAUUAAGAGAGAGACAUUCGUGACUCCCAGAUGUACCUCCUUCCUGUCCCACAGUGUUCCUGAAGGGAGUGAGUUAUGGGGUAACUUAUAACACAGCAGGCUCUUCCUCAAGAUAGCUCUUGUCAAAACAGGAAGACGAAACUCGGGUUUCCAUGAGGAGACCACAGCUUGGGAUCCUGUCUGGAUGUACAAGCAGAAGCAUCUUCAUACUUUUCCAUUUCUAACCAUCAUGCCUCACCCCACCCUCCCAAGGCGACAUCUGCAGAGAGGUGGAACCAUCUAGGGAGGCCUGCCACUGUUUGCUGAGCUCCGGGUGAGGAUGAAGACACUUUGACAUGGCCAGCUUCAGACUCGGGAUCUGUCGGUGUUAGCAGCCGAAGGAGAAUGAGGAGGAAGAGGAGGAGAAAGAGGAGGAGGAAGUAAGACAGAGGGGGACAAGAGGACCAAGAGGGCACAUGGCUGAGGAGGAGGAGAACAACAACAACAACAACAACAACAACAACAACAAGAAGCUUGGUGUUUUCAGGAUGUGUUCCUGAGUCUCGUGAGUAGCACAUGGCAGUUGUUGUCACCUUGGGCUGAGCCGUGAAGAUUCUCACCCUCCCUUGUUGGGGAUGAACUCCGGGAUUCUAAGGAGAGGUCAGCAGGUGUUUCACAGACUGUUCCUGUUGGAGGAUUUGUCUGAUACUCUUCUCCUGAUUAGUCUGGGCUCUACAUUUCCCCAAGGGUGAAACUUGGAAGCCCUCUCCAGGAUGCAGCAGGUAGCUGAGGAGAAAACGAAGACUGACCAGCCCAGAGCUCAGAGCUUCCUCCCAUGCUCAGGAUUUACCACCAAUGCCAUUACAUCGGCCUCUUCUUGUAUGCCUCUGGAAACCACAUGUGUCCUCUGUUUGUAAUGGUUUGGCUAUGGUUGCUGGCCCCUCUUGGACAUUGUUUUCAGAACUUAAAGAAACAUUGCUUUAAAGAUUUAUUAGAACAUAUUUAAAAUAAAACCAUCUUCUCAUUUAGUAUG
rnacentral:lncRNA from 1 species